AAUUCAAACAAGUUGUUGCAUGAAUCAAUUGUUCAUUUUUACUGCUGAGUAGUAAAUGCCCUUAUUGUACGGAUAUGUACCACAUUUUGUUUAUCCAUUAAUCUUUUGAUGGGCAUUUGGAUUAUUUCCAACUUUUGCCUAUUACAAAUGAAGCUGCUGCGAACAUUCAUGACAAGUCUUUGGAUGGACACAUGCUUUCAUUUCUCUCAGCCCCCCGGUACAUAUAGUUGUGUAUUCUUCGUUGUGGGUUCCUCUAGCUGUGGCAUGUGGGACGCCGCCUCAGCGUGGUCUGACGAGCAGUGCCAUGUCCGCGCCCAGGAUUCGAACCGACGAAACACUGGGCCGCCUGCAGCGGAGCGCGCGAACUUAACCACUCGGCCACGGGGCCAGACCCUAAACUUGCCAAUUUCUACCAAAAAAAAAGCCUACUGAGAUUUUUUUACUGGGAUUGAAUUAAAUCUAUAGAUUAAAAUUGGAGAAUGGACAGUUUAAUAA
rnacentral:lncRNA from 1 species